UGUUGUUGUUCAACUUUUGCUCCUUUACACUUCUACCCUUUGUGACUUAUUACCCCUGGCCUUAUUUCAUCCACCUGUCACCUCAGACUUAUUUUUGAAAAGCAUUCUCAGGAAAGUUGGCUCUUUUAGAAGACAUUUGAGUAGCAACUUGGCUGAAUGUGGAAAUUGGUUGUGAUCUUUCAUUUCUAUACCCAGGGACGUGGUUCCCCUGUGUUCUGGUAUUCGGGUUUUGAAAAGAGUGUCAAGCCCCCUUGCGUCUUUGUAUUUCAGUUUGACACAUUCUUUUUGCUUAAAAUUCAACACUAUCCCCAAGUGAUAUCCUUUGGUUCAUUUGUCUGGAAAAUAAUUGUUCUAUUUCAAAAUAUCAGUUACUUUUUUAAGCCAGGUAAUUCUCUAGAAUUUUCCAUGUGCUCUUAUUUAAAUCCCAUUUGCCCUGCUCUGCCUGGUGGAGUCUCUCCCAGGAACUGGAUCUUUUCUUUGCUGUUUUGCUUGUUUUCUCUGUCAGUGCCAAUUUGACCUUUUCUUGAGGAGUUUUUGGUGUCUUCCCCUGAUUCGUCCUGUAAACUGCUAAUUAAAUUUUCUACAAUGUCAAGUCUGCUAAUUGUUGAUUCGCACUAACUCACUUGUUUGGAAAUUCAGUUAAGUGGACUGCUGAUCACAAGUUUUUCCUUCUUUUUGUUUUCAGUCCUUGAUUCAUAGGGGCAGAGUCUGUCUGAUUUUUUUUUCCCUUUGUUCCUUAAGGAGAAAUGCAGACAGGUUUCCUUUUCUUAUAUGGUAAUAAAUAUAAUGCUGUUAUACUUCUUGUCACUAACUCUUUGAGUUAGUAACCCUUAAAAAAAA
rnacentral:lncRNA from 1 species